UGGGGAAUAUUGCACAAUGGGCGCAAGCCUGAUGCAGCCAUGCCGCGUGUAUGAAGAAGGCCUUCGGGUUGUAAAGUACUUUCAGCGAGGAGGAAGGCGGUAAGGUUAAUAACCUUAUCGAUUGACGUUACUCGCAGAAGAAGCACCGGCUAACUCCGUGCCAGCAGCCGCGGUAAUACGGAGGGUGCAAGCGUUAAUCGGAAUUACUGGGCGUAAAGCGCACGCAGGCGGUCUGUCAAGUCGGAUGUGAAAUCCCCGGGCUCAACCUGGGAACUGCAUUCGAAACUGGCAGGCUAGAGUCUUGUAGAGGGGGGUAGAAUUCCAGGUGUAGCGGUGAAAUGCGUAGAGAUCUGGAAGAAUACCGGUGGCGAAGGCGGCCCCCUGGACAAAGACUGACGCUCAGGUGCGAAAGCGUGGGGAGCAAACA
rnacentral:rRNA from 1 species